rnacentral:misc_RNA from 1 species
GAUGAAGAACGUAGCGAAAUGCGAUAAGUAAUGUGAAUUGCAGAAUUCAGUGAAUCAUCGAAUCUUUGAACGCACAUUGCGCCCAUUAGUAUUCUAGUGGGCAUGCCUGUUCGGGCGUCAUUUCAACCCUUAAGCCUAGCUUAGUAUUGGGAAUCGACUUUACUGUCGUUCCUCAAAUUCAACGGCGGAUUUAUAGCAAUCUCUGAACGUAGUAAUUUUUUUCCUCGUUUUUGAAAUACUAUAAACCUCAGCCGCUAAACCCCCAAUUUUUCUAUGGUUGACCUCGGAUCAGGUAGGAAUACCCGCUGAACUUAAGCAUAUCAAUAAGCGGAGGA